rnacentral:pre_miRNA from 15 species
GAUGUGACAGUGGCUGCUGGUAUCGCUGGCUCUGACAAUGUUGCACUACUGUCUGCACAAAUAAAGCAGUGCAAUAAUAUUGUCAAAGCAUUUGGUUCCAGUCUUAAUACAUCCUUAUG